ACUUUUACUUCUUCAUGGAUUAACAUAUAUUGAAGUUGUGACAAUAAUAUUAUUGAUUUUCACAGGUAUAUGUAGAGGUUUUUGCAGGAGCAAUGCUUUUAUUAGCUGGAGCACUAGCUUGUUAUGGAAUAUUACUAUGCCUGAAAAUGAGCAAAGUCAGAACUGAAAGAGCUUCUUCAGAGCUUUGGAAGGUUCAUCAAUCCCCUCAGCCUUUUUAUUAUGGGUAAUGAGAGAAGCACCACCAUUAAUAAUAGCUUAUGUACAACAAGAAUCAGCUACAUUAACUUUCGUAAGUGAUAGUACAGCAGCAAUACC